GGGCCCGCACAAGCAGUGGAGUAUGUGGUUUAAUUCGAAGCAACGCGAAGAACCUUACCAGGGCUUGACAUGCAGGUGAAUGAUGUAGAGAUAUAUCAGACCUUCGGGACACCUGUGCAGGUGGUGCAUGGUUGUCGUCAGCUCGUGUCGUGAGAUGUUGGGUUAAGUCCCGCAACGAGCGCAACCCCUGUUGUUAGUUGCCAUCAUUAAGUUGGGCACUCUAACGAGACUGCCGGUGACAAAUCGGAGGAAGGUGGGGACGACGUCAAAUCAUCAUGCCCCUUAUGUCCUGGGCUACACACGUACUACAAUGGCUAUAAACAGCAGGAAGCGAAGGAGCAAUCCGGAGCAAAUCCCUAAACAUAGUCCCAGUUCGGAUUGUGGGCUGCAACCCGCCCACAUGAAGUCGGAAUUGCUAGUAAUGGCAGGUCAGCAUACUGCCGUGAAUACGUUCCCGGGCCUU
rnacentral:rRNA from 1 species